UCAUAGAGCCACCCUGCAGGAGAGAAGGUUGUUAUUAAAGCUAUGGGAUUUUUCUCAGUGAGAAAAACAAAAACAAAAAAAAACCAAACCAAACCAAAAAAAACCCAAAAAACAACAACAACAAAAAAACCAAAACAAAAUAAAACCAACCAAACAAACAAAAAAACAAAAACAUUUGGGGAGGUUAGGCGGGAAGCAAGGGAUGUGUGUUCUCAUCUAAGAAUUGCUCAGAUAUUUUCCUUAAAUUAUUUUAACUCUUCCUGGGCGGCAUUUCCUGUAAGGAAAUGACAUGCAGGUUACUUUUUCCAGAGCCAGUUUUGAUCCUUGUAGUAGACAUGGUGUUUAAUUUGAUUGAAUUUAAUCCCUGAAUUAUUUUUUUUUUUCCUGUUUAAAUAAGUGGGCCAAAAGUGGCUGAUGGAAGAUCCUGUUGGAUUGAUGGGAUAACUUGCAUGUGCUGGUAUUUGCAAACAUCUGGGCUGCAAACCUCCUGUUCUCCAGCUUUGUCUUCUUGUGAGCAGACCUUGUCUAACAGGAGAGACCCCAGGCCAGGAGCUGGAAGUGAACUUGAUAAAAGUAGCUCUGGGAGGACUUAAAAGGAAAAGCUGAAUUCCAUGGAGCCUCAGGAAUCUCUGGAGAAUGCAGGUCACCUUUUAAAGUGACCUCCAAGUGCUGGGUUUGGUCCUGGCAAAUCUCGGGUCUGGGCAGUCCUUUGAAAGGUGGAGAAUUCCUCUCUUUGAAUCAAAAAUCUGCAAAGUGGGAGAUGCUGCUGCACAUAGAAACCCUAAUCCAGUCCCAAAUGUGGUGUGGGAUGGGUGGGUGUGGGGAAGCAGCUGAGCCAGAUCUGCUGCUGGCAUGAAAUGCAAUUCCUCUGGAGAUAUCCAUGGAAUCCAGACAUCCAUGGGCUUCCAUGAUUUACACCACCAGCAGAUCUGGCCCAAAUCUGGGAUUCUUAAACCCAGGAAGGGACAUGGUACAGUCCCUGAGAUCCUGGGCUCGGACUUGUGCAGGGAGAGGGUGCCAGUAAAACUCGGGAUCUGUGCUGGAGGGAGGCACUGACAUUUCCCUGCUGUAGAUUUCCACAGCUGCAGGAAGGUUUUCUAAAGCAGAGCAAAAGCUGCUGUUGCCCAGUUUCAGUUUCUGUUGGCUCAUGGCUGUCUCGGGGGGAGUCCCUGUGUUUGUUCCUCGGGGAUGUCGUGCGGAGCAGCCGGAGCUGCAGCUGGACAGGAGCACCCAUCCCGUGGGGCUGCACUGGGGGACUCUCCCAUGACCCUGAGGCUCUUGAGGAGUGUUUCAUCCCCAGGGAUAGGAUCUGCUUUUGCUGCCUGGAGGUCUCUCAAAAUCUCAAAGGGAUUUGGAGAGGAAAAGGGAUGCUGACGUAGUUACUGGUGGGAGGAGCAGGACAGAGUGCUCCAGUUGAGCUCUGAUUUAUUGCAGUUAUUCUUAAAAUAUCCUUCUGGAUAUUGGUUAAUUUAUUUAUUUAUUUUUAACAUUUUCUUGGUUUUUUUUUUUUUUUUUGUGUGCUGAAUGGGAUUUAGGUGCAGUGGGAUUUACCAGCAUUGCCUCACUGGCAGCACAGCCAUGAACUUCUGUCACACCCCAUCCUUUGGAAGCCACUCCAGUCUCUGUGCCCCCAGUUCUUCUCCAAAAUAAUAAUCACUCCUGCUGCAGAGAGCUGAACUAGGAGCUUGUGGUGUCCAAACCCCAGCAAAGCAGCAGUUUUGUAAGGAAUGCUGGUAAAUCCCAGGCCUCAGUGUAAUCCAAACUAAACAUUCCCAGCACUGCUGGUGCUACCAGCUGGGUCAGGCUGUCUGCUGAUCUUUAAUCAGAAGUUUUAUUAUUUCCUAAUGCCCUGAGGAGCAAAAUUCAGUGGGAAGGUGAAGGUAAAAUGUAGAAAAUGUCUGAAUAUGUGUGCCAGCAGAGCUUUUGGGUGACUCCAUCCUCUUCCCUUUCACCACCCAAAUUUCUUGGGAUUGGAAUUCAUGCUCUGAGGGCUGGAAUCUCUUGUAGAAUUUGCAUUACAUGCUUUGGUUCAGCUCUUCUGCACUUUGAGUCAGUGAUUUGUACUGCUUGUGGAAAUAAACUGUGGCCCUCUCUCCUCAGCUGGCUCGUGGCUGCCAAAAUGUUUGUUCUGGUUUGGGUUGGGUUUUUUCAGCGUGGCAGCAUCCAGAGGUGUUGGUGGAUGGGGAGCUCUGAAGGAGACUCCAGACUUUCCUUUUGGGUCCUGCCAGCUGCCCCUGGAUUUCAGGGCUUUCAGCUGAACAGAUUUGCAGAAACCCCAUCCUGGGAUGGAUCCCUGUAGGAGAGUGAACCAGCAGCAUGUUUUAUCCCUGGAUUUCUGGGGUGCUCCUGGGGCUGGAGCAGGACCCAGACCCUGGCUGAGCACACGCUGCACUCACCAGCACGGGCAGCACCAGAGCCAUGAAACCUCCAGAGAAGAUGGCAAAGGCCACGGUGUAGGCCAGGAGCAGUGGG